rnacentral:rRNA from 1 species
CAUCACUACGCUAGAUGCAUAUCAAUAAGCGGAGGAAAAGAAACUAACAAGGAUUCCCCUAGUAACGGCGAGUGAAGCGGGAAGAGCUCAAAUUUGAAAUCUUAAAAGGUUUUCCUUUUACGAAUUGUAGUUUAAAGAAGUGUUUUCUGUUGAAGUUUUGGUACAAGUUCUUUGGAAUAGGACAUCAUAGAGGGUGAGAAUCCCGUAUUUGACCUUAAUUUUUCAACUUUGUGAUACACUUUCAAAGAGUCGGAUUGUUUGGGAAUGCAGUCCAAAAUGGGUGGUAAAUUUCAUCUAAGGCUAAUAUUGGCGAGAGACCGAUAGCGAACAAGUACCGUGAGGGAAAGAUGAAAAGAACUUUGAAAAGAGAGUUAAAUAGUACGUGAAAUUGUCAAAAGGGAAGCGUUUGGCACCAGUGUUGUUUUUCUAAAAAUCAAUUUAAAAUUUGCUUAUGUUAAGUGUUUUAGACUUAAUCGGCUAUACAUUUAAUUCUUUGUAAAUUUUGAAUGCACUUUUUAGUUAACAAGUCAACAUCAAUUUUUUUUGCUGUAAAAAAGUAAGAGGAAGGUGGCUUGGGAUUCGUUUCGAAGUGUUUAUAGCCUCUUGCCCAUGCAGGUAGGAGAGAUUGAGGUCUGCAGCAUAGAUCCUUCGGGGCUAGAUGCUUUUGUGCUAGAAGCUAGUAUUAUAUAGACAACUUGUUGAUUAUGUAAUAUAUUAGUUUCUACUCGCUUAAGUUAUUUUACCUACGCUUAGGAUGUUGAUCUACAGAGCGAGAGU